rnacentral:rRNA from 1 species
GACGAACGCUGGCGGCGUGCUUAACACAUGCAAGUCGAACGGAAAGGCCCUGCUUGCAGGGUGCUCGAGUGGCGAACGGGUGAGUAACACGUGGGUGAUCUGCCCCUUACUUUGGGAUAAGCCUGGGAAACUGGGUCUAAUACUGGAUAGGACCAUGCUGUAGGUGGUGUGGUGGAAAGAUUAGUUUCGGUAAGGGGUGAGCUCGCGGCCUAUCAGCUUGUUGGUGGGGUAAUGGCCUACCAAGGCGUCGACGGGUAGCCGGCCUGAGAGGGUGGACGGCCACAUUGGGACUGAGAUACGGCCCAGACUCCUACGGGAGGCAACAGUGGGGAAUAUUGCACAAUGGGCGCAAGCCUGAUGCAGCGACGCCGCGUGGGGGAUGACGGCCUUCGGGUUGUAAACUCCUUUCAGCCAUGACGAAGCCCUUGUGGUGACGGUAGUGGUAGAAGAAGCACCGGCUAACUACGUG